rnacentral:rRNA from 1 species
AGAGUUUGAUCCUGGCUCAGAUUGAACGCUGGCGGCAUGCCUUACACAUGCAAGUCGAACGGUAACAGGCCGCAAGGUGCUGACGAGUGGCGAACGGGUGAGUAAUGCAUCGGAACGUGCCCAGUAGUGGGGGAUAGCCCGGCGAAAGCCGGAUUAAUACCGCAUACGACCUACGGGUGAAAGCGGGGGACCGAAAGGCCUCGCGCUAUUGGAGCGGCCGAUGUCAGAUUAGGUAGUUGGUGGGGUAAAGGCCUACCAAGCCUACGAUCUGUAGCUGGUCUGAGAGGACGACCAGCCACACUGGGACUGAGACACGGCCCAGACUCCUACGGGAGGCAGCAGUGGGGAAUUUUGGACAAUGGGCGCAAGCCUGAUCCGGCCAUGCCGCGUGCGGGAAGAAGGCCUUCGGGUUGUAAACCGCUUUUGUCAGGGAAGAAAUCUUCUGGGUUAAUACCUCGGGAGGAUGACGGUACCUGAAGAAUAAGCACCGGCUAACUACGUGCCAGCAGCCGCGGUAAU